GGGGGGCCAACACCAACAACUAUGAAGCUUGAUUUGACCUGCCAGAUUAAUUCACUCAUCUUUGGAGUUGUUAGGUCAUUGUAUCGUAUUACGGACUGAAAUUGAACAAAUUUGUACUGUGGGACUUGAAUGAAAUACACUGUGACGUUGUUGUUGAGUUAAACUGAGACAAAAAUUAAAUUUGGGACUGUGAUUUAGUUUUGUUGGGUUGCUGAUUUGUGAACGGAGGAUUGGGCAGUAUUGUUGUUGUUUUUGUUGAGGAGUUUGGGCAAAUGUGAAAAUUGGAAGUGUCUUUGUGCCCAAAUUUAAUAAUUACCCAAAAGCUGAUUGGUGGUCCACGUUGCAGAUGGAGUGUUUUGAUGUACAGUGAAAGAAUUAGUGCCAAGGUUUCUGAUGUUUCAAUCUGUCAGAUCAACAUGGUUCAUUCAAAUGAUAUGUUGGCUAUGUUCAUCGUUCAAUGAACUAUUAUAUCAUGAGAUUAUGGAAUGAAAAGACAUGGACUGUUUACACAAGUUGUUGGUGACCUCUCUCUCCUCAACUCAUCACCCUUGGCAAAGCUAUUGGAUACAUGUCUCCGCUCAAAGUCAGCUCGGGACACCCGUCGUGUCCAUGCCCGCAUCAUAAAGUCUCAGUUUUUCUCAGAAAUUUUCAUCCAGAAUAGGUUGAUAGAUGUGUACGGAAAGUGUGGCUGUUUGGACGAUGCACGCAAGGUGUUUGAUCGGAUGCCCCAAAAGAAUGCUUUCACUUGGAACUCGGUUUUAAGUGCAUUAACAAAAUCGGGUUCUCUUGACGAAGCGGUGCGGCUUUUUCGGUUGAUGCCUGAGCCCGAUCAGUGCUCUCGGAAUUUAAUGAUCUCAGGGUUGGCUCAGAAUGAUCACUUUAAGGAAUCCCUUGAUUUUUUUGUUGAGAUGCAUAGGGAGGAUUUUGUACUGAAUGAAUACACUUUUGGUAGUGCUCUUAGUGCUUGUUCGGGUUUAGCGGAUAUAAAAAUGGGUACCCAGAUCCACGCUUCAAUAUCAAAAUCUCCGUACUUAUUGGAUGUUUAUAUGGGGUCUGCACUUGUUGAUAUGUAUUCUAAAUGUGGGAGUGUGGCUUGUGCUCAAGAAGUUUUCGAUGGGAUGAACGAACGGAAUAUAGUGACAUGGAAUAGCUUGAUAACAUGUUAUGAGCAAAAUGGUCCAGCAGAUGAAGCUAUAAAGAUCUUUGUGAGGAUGAUGGAAUGUGGGCUUGAACCCGAUGAGCUCACGCUUGCCAGUAUGGUCAGCGCCUGUGCAAGCUUGUCAUCAAUCAAAGAAGGUCAGCAGAUUCAUGCCCGGAUUGUGAAAGUUGAAAAAUUUAGGGAUGAUGUUGUUAUAUGUAAUGCAUUGGUUGACAUGUAUGCAAAAUGCAGUAAAAUUAAUGAAGCUAGAUGGGUUUUUGAUAGGAUGCCAACUAGGAAUGUGGUGUCCGAAACCUCCAUGGUGAGUGGUUAUGCAAAAGUGGCAAGUGUGAAAGCUGCAAGAUUAAUGUUUACAAAGAUGAUAGAAAAGAAUGUCAUAUCUUGGAAUGCACUAAUUGCAGGCUAUACACAGAAUGGGGAGAAUGAAGAGGCAUUAGGACUCUUCCGCCUCCUAAAGAGGGAAUCUGUUUGGCCUACACACUACACCUUUGGUAAUCUCCUCAAUGCAUGUUCAAAUUUAGCUGAUCUGAAGCUUGGUAGGCAGGCUCACACUCAUGUCUUGAAGCAUGGAUUUCGGUUUCAGUCUGGACCAGAGUCUGAUAUUUUUGUGGGGAACUCUCUAAUAGAUAUGUACAUGAAAUGCGGAUCGGUUGAAGAUGGGAACCGGGUAUUUGAGAAAAUGGUUGAAAGAGAUUGGGUUUCAUGGAAUGCCAUGAUAGUAGGGUAUGCACAAAAUGGACAUGGGACUGAAGCUCUUGGAAUGUUCAGGGAAAUGUUGAUAUCUGGAGAGAAACCAGACCAUGUCACUAUGAUUGGGGUUCUAUGUGCUUGUAGCCACACGGGGCUGGUUGAAGAGGGGCGCCAAUAUUUCUUCUCAAUGAGCAAGAAGCAUGGUAUAGAACCCAUGAAGGAUCAUUAUACAUGUAUGGUUGAUUUGUUUGGUCGAGCCGGUUGCCUCAAUGAAGCGAAGAAGUUGAUAGAAUCCAUGCCAAUGCAGCCGGAUGGUGUUGUCUGGGGAUCUUUGCUUGCUGCUUGUAAAAUUCAUGGUAACCUUGAAUUAGGUAAGUUUGUAGCCGAGAAGCUCCUAGAGAUUGAUCCUGAAAACUCUGGUCCCUAUGUUCUCCUCUCAAACAUGUAUGCUGAGCUUGGAAGAUGGAGGGAUGUUACAAGAGUUAGGAAGCUUAUGAGGCAGCGGGGUAUUAUUAAGCAACCAGGAUGCAGUUGGAUUGAAAUUCAGGGUCAGGUGCAUAAUUUCAUGGUGAAAGACAGAAGACAUCCUCAAAAGAAGGAAAUUUAUCUACUUCUGAAAAUUCUUGCUCAACAGAUGAAGCUAGCUGGUUAUAUUCCUGAUACUGGUGAUGCACAGGCUGAUGAAGAGCAGAACAAGUCAGAUUUACCUCAUGUGACCAAUUGGAAGUACCAGCAGUUGCUGCCGUUGCAUAAUUCUCACAUAAUUCAUUAAAUGCUUUGUUCGUGGCAUGUUAGCAUUAUAUUUAUUCUUCCGCUGAGAUAAAUCAAGAAAAUGGGCUUGAUUUUUGGAAUUCUCAUAUGGACGAUCGUCGGGAUCGUGUUGAUGGCUGGUUGGCGUCAUAUGAUGAGUUAUCGAAGCAACAAACGAAUCGCAAAGAUAUAAUUAUCAACAGCUGAUAUAAAACACCUUGGGUCCCUCAACAGAGAUGACCUGAAGAAAAUUUGUGGUGAUAAUUUUCCUGAAUGGAUAUUUUCCCUGUUUAUGAACAGGUGAAAUGGUUGAAUAAGUAGUUGAGCAAACUGUGGCCAUAUGUUUCUGAUGCCGCCACGGCGAUAAUAAAAGAAUCUGUUGAACCUCUGUUGGAAGAGUAUCGACCUCCAGGGAUUACUUCCUUGAAGUUCAGCAAACUGACUCUUGGAACUGUGGCACCCAAAAUUGAAGAGAUUGCAAGGAUUCCAAGAAUUUCAACAAUUGGAAAUGUGAGGUCGGCAGUUCCACAUCGAGGACCGUCUUUGUACAUCGACGGGAAGUCCGUUGCAGGGAGGAAAUCCGUUCUCUCAUCUUGCUUGGUCGGGUGUUUUGACAAGGAAGUUGGGGGUUGUGAUCGUGUGGAGGAAUGGGCUGCGAGAGCAUGGAAUACGUCCUGUGGAGUGGGGGUUACUCCAUUAUCUGAUUUGCUGCUCCUUUUUAGGUUUCCUUCUCAGGUCGAAGCCCAACGUGUGUUGAAGGAAGGCCGGCGUCAAUGGGGAUCUGCAACCCUGCGGAUCGAUGUAUGGUCUUUUAGGGUUGGUUGUUGCGGCGUCCUUAGAGAAAAAGGUCUCAAACAGAUCCGGCUGUUUGGACUUCCCCUUCACCUAUUUGUUGAAGUAGGGGAGUUGUGUGGCGGACUUGUGGGAGCUGUUGCUGAUGAAACAAGGGAUGCCGAAAGUGUUAUAUUUUAAUAUAUACAAAAAUUAAAUUUUGGUCUUUUUGUUUUAUUUUUUAAUAUUAUGAAACUAAAUGCAAUCAUUAAUAGGGCUCUCAAGUGAAUCUGUGCAUUUUGUUAAAAAUUAAAAAAUUUUAAAUCCAAGGCAUACUCUUUAA